rnacentral:lncRNA from 1 species
CUCCCCUCUUUAUGUCCAAAGAGUUGGACAUCCAUCUGGCAAAGAUCCAAGCGUGGUGAUGCCUCGAACAGAAGGCUGCAGGAAUUCUUUGAUAGGCUGCUGCUCCAAUUUUAGGAAGACUUUUGAAGAUCUUCCUAAUCAGAUUUAGAUUUGAUUUUUGGAGCAUAGAUUCAUGGAGAGAAGCCAUUCCAGGUUCUGCCUGAGUGGAUACCGAUAGAGGCCAGACUCUUGCAUGGCUACAUCAGAACCUCGGGCUGUGUUGAGAUCAUCUACAGGGUAAUCAGAUUACCCUUGAGGUAUUACUUGUUUCCUCAUCCCUUUUAGAUUUAUUUUAGACUUAAUAUUAGAUAUGAAUAUUAGAUCUAGAGAUUUAGAUCUAAAAUAUAUAUAGGAUAAUUUUUUUAAAAAUUAUUUUAUCCCAGAUUUGAUGAAAUCUGGAAGAUCCUACGAGGAAAAGCGAUUUUCCUCCUUCACCAGCUGCCAAUGCACAUGGAACAGUCAGAGACACUUAUC